UACAGAGGUCUCAAGCGUUGUUCGGAUUCAUUGGGCGUAAAGGGUGUGUAGGUGGCGCGCUAAGUCGGGUGUGAAAUUUCGGAGCUUAACUCCGAAACUGCAUUCGAUACUGGCGUGCUUGAGGACUGGAGAGGAGAUUGGAAUUUACGGUGUAGCAGUGAAAUGCGUAGAUAUCGUAAGGAAGACCAGUGGCGAAGGCGAAAUCUCUGGACAGUUACUGACACUGAGGCACGAAGGCCAGGGGAGCAAACGGG
rnacentral:rRNA from 1 species